UCUGCCUAAAGCUGCAGAGGACGAAUUGCUUCCUUGUUACUGUUCACCAAAGGCCAGAAAUGCUCCAAGCCAGGUGCUUGAGAACAUGGGAUCUAAAAUCCAUUUACUUUUGAUUACAGGAACAUCUGUGUUGUCUUUGGUGUCAUGAUUCAGGUGGAUGUCAUUAAGCAUAAAAAGAAGAAAGCCAGAUCAGAGCAGAGAUGGUGAUUCACACUGUACUGUAAGAAACAAAAGUGAAGAAAGAAGAUGAGGCCUAAAAAGGAUUUAACUUGGUGUGGCAGAGGGUUCUGAGGAAUGCAAGUUCAGGUUGCUUGCACAUAAGAACACUAGGUCUUCAAGACUUCUAAUCUUUGUUCAUUUUUGACCUUUCUUAUAAGCCUACUAAUACAAAAGCCAGAUCAGUUCUCAGCCCAGUUCAUCCUGUGACUGCAUAAAGCGCUUGUACUGGCAUACAGAAGAGAAUUGCAGUGAAUAAAGGUAUAAGAGUACACUGAAUCUUUUAUCAUUGCCAAGGAACUUCUUUCCUUCAGCAAGGUGAAACAUGUGGACUUAGUUGUAUGAGAAAGCUUCUCACAUCCAAUUAUAACUGGGUGCAACCCUUUUAAUUGAAAAUUUAGAUACUGGAAACCAGAAUAUUUUUAUUUAUUAGAAGAAAAAGGCAUUUUAGAGUGCAGAUUCAUGUAGUAAGCCUGCUACCUUCUGCUACUCUACUGGUAUAAUCAUAGUCUUUUUGCAAAUACAAUAAACACAUUUCUGAGCCAUUUUGAAAUUUCCUAUUUUCCUUUCCAACCUGUUAGUGAAUCAUAAUUUUUGUGAGAAUAUAUCCAAAUUACUGUUUAUAUUAGAUAUAUAUCUCUCUAGGAAAAAGGAACAAUUCUAAUCUAGAAAGUGUUGUCAUACAGUUAAUUGGAUAAGUUAACAGUGUACUCAGAAAUAACAUUCUUAAAUCUAAAAAUCAAUGACUAAUUUUAGUAAAAUAUUCUUAAAUAAGUGGAGAAAAAGUCCUCUCUCAGAGAA